rnacentral:rRNA from 1 species
GGCUAAGCCAUGGGAGUCGUACGCCCCGCCGCUGCGGGGCGUGGCGGACGGCUGAGUAACACGUGGCUAACCUACCCUCGGGAGGGGGAUAACACCGGGAAACUGGUGCUAAUCCCCCAUAGAGGAGGGGGCCUGGAAGGGUCCCUCCUCGAAAAGGUGUGGCGGGGGUUAACGCUGCCGCACCGCCCGAGGAUGGGGCUACGGCCCAUUAGGUAGUUGGCGGGGUAACGGCCCGCCAAGCCGAUAAUGGGUAGGGGCCGUGAGAGCGGGAGCCCCCAGAUGGGCACUGAGACAAGGGCCCAGGCCCUACGGGGCGCACCAGGCGCGAAACCUCCGCAAUGCGGGAAACCGUGACGGGGCCACCCCGAGUGCCCCCUUACGGGGGCUUUUCCCCGCUGUAGGAAGGCGGGGGAAUAAGCGGGGGGCAAGUCUGGUGUCAGCCGCCGCGGUAAUACCAGCCCCGCGAGUGGUCGGGACGAUUAUUGGGCCUAAAGCGCCCGUAGCCGGCUCGACAAGUCUCCUCCUAAAUCCUCGGGCUCAACCCGAGGAUUGGAGGAGAUACUGUCGAGCUAGGGGGUGGGAGAGGCCGAGGGUACUCCCGGGGUAGGGGCGAAAUCCUAUAAUCCCGGGAGGACCACCAGUGGCGAAGGCGCUCGGCUGGAACACGCCCGACGGUGAGGGGCGAAAGCCGGGGGAGCGAACCGGAUUAGAUACCCGGGUAGUCCCGGCUGUAAACGAUGCGGGCUAGGUGUUGGGUGGGCCUAGAGCCCACCCAGUGCCGCAGGGAAGCCGUUAAGCCCGCCGCCUGGGGAGUACGGCCGCAAGGCUGAAACUCAAAGGAAUUGGCGGGGGAGCACCACAAGGGGUGGAGCCUGCGGUUCAAUU